rnacentral:rRNA from 1 species
UGGGCAACGUGCCCCAGACUCAGGAACAACAACGGGAAACCGUUGCUAAUGCCAGAUAACUCCUGCGUACCGCAUGGCAUGCAGGGCAAAGCUCCGGCGGUCUGGGAUCGGCCCGCGUCCUAUCAGCUUGUUGGUGGGGUAAUGGCCUACCAAGGCGAUGACGGGUAGCUGGCGUGAGAGCGUGGCCAGCCACACUGGGACUGAGACACGGCCCAGACCUCUACGGGGAG